rnacentral:rRNA from 1 species
CCUACGGGCGGCAGCAGUGGGGAAUAUUGCACAAUGGGGGGAACCCUGAUGCAGCAACGCCGCGUGGGUGAAGAAGUACUUCGGUGCGUAAAGCUCUGUCAGCAGGGAAGAAAAUGACGGUACCUGACCAAGAAGCCCCGGCUAACUACGUGCCAGCAGCCGCGGUAAUACGUAGGGGGCAAGCGUUAUCCGGAGUUACUGGGUGUAAAGGGAGCGUAGAUGGUUAAGUAAGUCAGGAGUGAAAGGCCAGGGCCCAACCCCGGGACUGCUCUGGAAACUAUGGAACUUGAGUGCGGGAGAGGAAAGCGGAAUUCCUAGUGUAGCGGUGAAAUGCGUAGAUAUUAGGAGGAACACCAGUGGCGAAGGCGGCUUGCUGGACUGUAACUGACGUUGAGGCUCGAAAGCGUGGGGAGCAAACAGGAUUAGAUACCCGAGUAGUC